CUACGGGGGGCUCCAGUGGGGAAUAUUGGACAAUGGGGGAAACCCUGAUCCAGCAAUGCCGCGUGUGUGAAGAAGGCCUGCGGGUUGUAAAGCACUUUCGGUUGGGAGGACUGCUUCUAGCACUAAUAUUGUUGGAAGUUGACGUUACCUUCAGAAGAAGCACCGGCUAACUCCGUGCCAGCAGCCGCGGUAAUACGGAGGGUGCAAGCGUGAAUCGGAAUUACUGGGCGUAAAGCGCGCGUAGGCGGCUAGAUCAGUCGGGUGUGAAAGCCCCGGGCUUAACCUGGGGACUGCAUCCGAUACUGUCUAGCUUGAGUACAGGAGAGGAGAGUGGAAUUCCACAUGUAGCGGUGAAAUGCGUAGAUAUGUGGAGGAACACCAAUGGCGAAGGCAGCUCUCUGGCCUGAUACUGACGCUGAGGUGCGAAAGCGUGGGGAGCAAACAGGAUUAGAUACCCUUGUAGUC
rnacentral:rRNA from 1 species